rnacentral:lncRNA from 1 species
CUGUCCUUCUUCUUCUCCUUCUUCUUCUCUUCUUAUUUUCUUAUUUUCUUCUUAUACUCCUCCUCCUCCUUCUUCUUCUCCUUCUCCUCCUCCUCCUUCUUCUUCUUCUUCUUCUUAUUCUCCUUUUUCUUCUCCUUCUUCUUCUCUUCAUUCUUCUCCUGUUUCAUCUUCUACUUAGCUUAUUUCCCCAACAAAUGCAUAAUUAGCUAAUUUAGCUCCAAAAUGAC